CAGAUAGCCGUCCCAUGGAGUCAAUCGCAUACCGAAGAACUGAAAGAGACUUUGACUCCAUGGCGAUUGAACUAUGCGAAUGGGAUCUGAGCGCUAUUCUCCAAUAAUGUGCACUCAGGUCCAGGCUAUCUGGGGAUAUGCAAUACGAAUGUAAUAUGUUCGGCAGUUAUGAAGUUAUGGAUUUUCAUGUGUUUUUGUGACUUGUGUGUAAAAUGGCG